CGGGGCAGCGGCCGUUGGCGGCGCGGCCCUGCCUCAGCCGAUAGCUGCCUGCGUGUCCCAGCGAGGGCCGCAGAGCCGCCGGCUGCGGCCGAGCUGCCCCCGCUGCCGAGGAGGUGGCCGGGCGCCCUGGCUGUGUGCUGCCAGCCCGCUCCCCACCCCCUUGCAGCUCACCCAGCUGCUCUUCUUCGUUGUUUACUUUGAAAUCCUUCUGCAGCUUUACCUGCCCUGUCUUCUGGUAAGUUCUGAGACCGAAUUUUCCUCUCUCUUCCCUUCUCUCUUUCUAUUCCCUGCUCCUUCCACCUGGCAAGAAAGGAAAAACGGAGGCCUGGGGCCUUCACCUGCUCUAGGAACGUGACCUGGAGCCCUGAGGACCUAACCUGCUCACUAACAUUUGCCAGAAGUGUCUUUUCUGAAGGAAUCAUACUUCAGGGGUGCUACAGAGGCCAGCAGGAAAUGCUUUUUUUGGAGCAUGUGAUCCAUCAGCUUGUCCAAAUUCAACCAGUGGUUCCAGGAUUUAUUUUCUUAAUAAGGGGCUGCAGGGACAGCAUCUUCUCCACAACAUCCUCCCUGUGUUUCUGGAAGCAGUGAUCACCAAGGAGGCCAUCCCAGAGGAGCUGCUGCAAUGCCUGAGGAAUAAAAGUUCUUUAUGAAGAGAGGAAAUGAGAGGGAAAGAACAGUGGUGACUGACAUGGAAAGGUUCCUACCUGGACAUGCAGCUGGACUGCCAGCAGACUCUCACUGGCAUGGUGGUUGUACCAAGUCACACACAGGUGGAAGAAAACAGCAUCCUGAGAAUAAGGGCAGAGAUACAGACUUCAGACACAAAAUACACUUGGAAAUCUUUCCCAAGGGAAAAAGAGGAAGUAAGGGAGCAGAGGGUGGCUGAAUCUACCAGAACAAGUCAAGACUGCUAGCUAGCCCUAAAUCCCAAAGGCUAAGACCUCUGAUUGUGCUUUUUGCAAGUUACUUGAUCAUUUGCUGAAAAACAAGCGUCUCUGGAUGCAUGCAGAGGAAGAAGCAACACAUCCCAGGGUCUGCUAUUCUCCUAUUACAGAGCUAGGGUAAAAAGAACGCCUUCACAAGCAGACUCUGGGAAGCAACAAAAAAGCAAAAGUCUGAUACUAAAACAUGUUGAUAUAA